rnacentral:lncRNA from 1 species
AAAAAAAUAGAAUAUAACAAAUUGUAAAACCAAAAAUAAACAAUUCAAUAACGAAGUGCGAAUUCAUAUAUCGUGUCUAGCAUAUUAUUCCGAAGAAUAAGAUUUGACAAUAACAUCAGCAUAAACAUAAGUAGUAGUAUAAGUAUAAGUGUAAGUACUAGGAAAAUGUCAGUUAGAGUUUUAACGAGAAUGUAAAUACUCAUACGGCCUGCAAAGUUCAACAAUUAGCAAAAUAUAUACCUUGUAAUAAGAUAUUAAAGGUUUGGUAGACCAAAAAAACAAUAAACGGUACGAAUUUAAUAGCGCUAGAAGCACAUUUUGGCCAAUUAAUAUCUCUUCACUGAUAC